rnacentral:rRNA from 1 species
GACGAACCGAGCGAACGUUGUUCGGAAUCACUGGGCUUAAAGGGCGCGUAGGCGGGCAUCAAAGUCUGUGGUGAAAUCCGGCAGCUUAACUGUCGAAUUGCCGUGGAUACUGGGUGUCUCGAGGGAGCAGGGGUGCGCGGAACUAAUGGUGGAGCGGUGAAAUGCGUUGAUAUCAUUAGGAACUCCGGUGGCGAAGGCGGCGCACUGGUCCUCUUCUGACGCUGAGGCGCGAAAGCCAGGGGAGCAAACGGG